UACGUAGGUGGCAAGCGUUAUCCGGAUUUAUUGGGCGUAAAGAGAACGCAGGCGGUCUUCUAAGUCUGAUGUGAAAGCCUUCGGCUUAACCGGAGUAGUGCAUUGGAAACUGGGAGACUUGAGUGCAGAAGAGGAGAGUGGAACUCCAUGUGUAGCGGUGAAAUGCGUAGAUAUAUGGAAGAACACCAGUGGCGAAAGCGGCUCUCUGGUCUGUAACUGACGCUGAGGCUCGAAAGCGUGGGUAUCGAACAGG
rnacentral:rRNA from 1 species